rnacentral:lncRNA from 1 species
ACAGUUGUAUUUCCCAUUAUUUAAGUUGAUGGAAUAAUACUUCAGGGUAAGAAUGGUAAUGGGGUGGGGGAAGAUCUACCUCAAUCCCCACCUCAUUCUCCAAUAAAUUUAAUGGGGUGGAGAUGAAGAAUCCCAUGUGGAGAAUGAUUUUGGAAUGUUUGAAAGGCUUGGAUUGUAAUUAGGUAAUUAACUCAACUUAUUAAAGAUGAUAUUGUCAUACCACAUUCAUAAUAUUUCAUUUUGAUAGAUAUUUAUGAUUUGUAAAAUAAGUUGAAUUGAUUAGGGGCCAUAUGAACUUUUUAUUAUAAAGUACCUUAAUUUAUUAACUUUUUAAAUUUAGAUAUGAUAAGUAUUGUAGUCCAUUUGAGUUUGGAUCUAAAUAUUUUUAGUUUAUACUUGAGGGGAGAAUAUGUAAUUUUUUCUGAUUUUUGUUUCACAAUUAAUUUAGCUGUGAUCAUUGUACCAAAUCAAAUAAUAAAAAAAGAAAUCAUGGGUUUAAAUUAAAAUAAAAAAAGGCAUGGGGGUGAUUAUUUGUGUGAAGAAGGAAAAAAAACAGUGAUAGACAAGGGAAAGAGAGACAUAUUAUAGAGUUAACAUCUGUUAGUUGCUUAUUAGUUAUUCCAUUUUAGUUAGCCACUAAUUCUAUAUAUUUUGAUGUCCAUGAAGAAAAAUUAAAAAUAAAUUAAAUCCUAUCCCUAAAUACAUUUAAAGGAAAAAUGUCAUAAUCUCUUACAAAUCUUGGCAAAAAUGAGAUUAAGAAAGAAUCCGAAUGAAAUUAAUCUUAUUUUAUGGGUUUUAAUUUGUUAGUUAAUUAAGCAGACCAAAUCAAGUCGAUGGGACAAUAUGAAGAUUGAAUGAAUCAUCUAGUAGGUACGGAGAUUUUAUUUUUAAUUUUAAAUACACACAAUGAAUGAAUAUGCUUGACUUGUUAAAGAUUAUUUCUUGAAUAAGUGAUAUUCAUUAUUAGUGAUAAUAAUGGGUGAUUAGUGUUAAAAAUUGUAUGUUUGUUAAGGGGUAAAAAUGUUAUUUUGUGCUAUUAUUGUAAUUUAUAUUUGUAAUUAUGUAACAUAUUGUGAAUUUCUAAUUAUUUUUCUAAGUAUUUGAUUUUGUGUAUUUUUGUGUGUUUAUUAGGUAAAAAUAAUAAUUUCAUGCAAUUGGAGGCUCCAAACAAAUGUGCAGAUGUCAAAUUUAGAUUUUAGAAGUCUGAGAAAUUAUGUUAUUGUUGAGGAGGAUCCAAGACUUUUGUUGUAAACUUUUAAGUUUUCACCACGGUAAAUGUGGUAAUUGUAAAGCUGUAAGUUUUUAUCAUAUUAGGUAUAGUAAUUAUUGGUGGAAUGUGUUGAAUGUGUUUGAGUGGAUUACAUUAGGUUUACAUUUUAUUAGUGGGACAAAUGUAAGGCUAAGAUGUAAUUAUAUUUACUUAUUUAUGUGGUGUGGAUUUACUAUGUAUUAGUAUAAAUAGAGAGGGGAGGGGGAGGGACACACCUUUUCACACCUUCUCUUCUCUUCUCUUCUUUCCCCC